GAUCGGCGAUCGGUGAGUAUUACGUCCCUGCCCUUUGUACACACCGCCCGUCGCUACUACCGAUUGAAUGGCUUAGUGAGGCCCUCGAAUCGACUCUCAGAGACUGGCAACAGUUUCCGUCUGUUGAGAAGUUGGUCAAACUUGGUCAUUUAGAGGAAGUAAAAGUCGUACCAAGGUUUCCGUAGGUGAACCUGCGGAAGGAUCAUUA
rnacentral:rRNA from 1 species